rnacentral:rRNA from 1 species
UACGUAGGCAGCAAGCGUUGUUCGGAAUUACUGGGCGUAAAGAGUGUGUAGGCGGUGCUCUAAGUCUGUUGUGAAAUCUCCCGGCUUAACUGGGAGGGUGCGGCGGAGACUGGAGUGCUAGAGUGUGGGAGAGGUAAGCGGAAUUCCUAGUGUAGCGGUGAAAUGCGUAGAUAUCAGGAGGAACACCUGUGGUGUAGACAGCUUACUGGACCACGACUGACGCUGAGACACGAAGGUCAGGGGAGCAAACGGG